rnacentral:ribozyme from 14 species
UUUUUUUUUCUUUUUUUUUUUUAACUUCUUCCUCUUGAAAAAACACACACACACUUUGAUAUAAGAAAGGGGGGCAGAAAAGUCAAAGAUUGGGCAAAAAAAAAAAUGAAU